rnacentral:rRNA from 1 species
AUUGAACGCUGGCGGCAGGCCUAACACAUGCAAGUCGAGCGGGAACUUCGGUUCUAGCGGCGGACGGGUGAGUAAUGCGUAGGAAGCUACCCGACAGAGGGGGAUACCAGUUGGAAACGACUGUUAAUACCGCAUAAUGUCUACGGACCAAAGUGUGGGACCUUCGGGCCACAUGCUGUCGGAUGCGCCUACGUGGGAUUAGCUAGUUGGUGAGGUAAUGGCUCACCAAGGCGACGAUCCCUAGCUGGCUUGAGAGGAUGAUCAGCCACACUGGAACUGAGACACGGUCCAGACUCCUACGGGAGGCAGCAGUGGGGAAUUUUUCGCAAUGGAGGAAACUCUGACGAAGCAACGCCGCGUGGAGGAUGAAGGCCCUCGUGGUCGUAAACUCCUGUCUAGCGGGACGAAAGCGAUAUGGGUGAAUAAUCCAUAUUGUUGACUGUACUGCUGGAGGAAGCUCCGGCCAACUCCGUGCCAGCCGCCGCGGUAAGAC